CACAUGACUAUCCAAUCCUCUUAAUUACAGGACUUAAUUAGUCUCUGGCAACUGGGAAGCCCACCUGAUGUCAAAUCCUCCUAUAAAUUGUAGGCUUAGUCUCCCCCAAGGAGCAAAGACUGCUGGCACGUCCUUCAUGCUGUCUGCUGCACACAGUGGGGUGUUGCUCCAGGACUUUUAUUCAAGUGAGGAGACCUGCUUCAGUUCAAGCACCAGCCAGGAGACAGAGUGGGCCAGGUCAAACCUUCCCAGCUCCAUGGUGACAUCACACUCACAGAGAAAGUGGGAUUGCGGAGCCACCAAAAGAUGAAGGCCCUCCCCAUGGAACAAAUGCUAAGAUACAAUUACUGUUUGUGGCAUACAUGAAGACACAGACUUCCUUAAGGAGAUUUUGAUUAAAAACUAAAAUAAAUUAUUUAGUUAAAAUGGAGAGUGAACAGUUAAAGAGAUAAAGGCUUGCCUAUGGGACAAGAGACAGAGGUACGCCCUGGACUGUGACAUGUUCACUUCCCUCUAGAUGUCAGUUUCACCCUCCAGAGGAUCCAUCAAUCUCUUUGAGAGAUGAUUCACUAAUUCAGGAGUUGGUAUUCCAUGGGAUGCUUGCUUUGAACUCAGUUUACUCUUACUUGCUUUGAUGACCAUGGAAAAUGGAUAUGGAAAAUGGAAGAGAAUUGUCUCAUACUGCUGGUGGAAGUUGUGCUUAUCUAAGCCUCCUGGGUAAUGAAGGUGGCAGGUCUUUGACCUGGGCUCUGCAAGUCUAUCUCUGCGACAACUAAGAACUGUGCCAGACAGUCAUCAAUUCUGGACCUGGCCUUCCCACCAGCCCUCUAUCACUAUCCUUUACCCACCCCUGACAGGUAGAAAGCAAAUUUGCAUAACAAACUGUUUAAACAUUCCAUUGUGAUCCACCUUCAAGGCACUCUUUGUCCUCGACAGCUCUAAUGGUUAGUGACCCCUUUAAAUUCAACAUCGUUUGUCAAAUCAAAUUAGGCUUGUUACUAAUUGUAAGGCAGUGACAUUCAUCUUUUUGAUGCUUUCAAACCAGUCUGAGGUAAAGUUCUUGUAUGGAAUCAGGCUUGGUAUGCUGAAUGAGUCACUUCCUCAAUGAGGCAAUUGUCAGAAAAACAGGAGACUUAGCUUGAAGGUAAAUAUUGUUGGGUCACUUGAAAUGUAUGCAGAUUUGACAUUUCCCUUCUGAUUAGCAUGUCUACACAUUAAAGUUUUUUGUAUGUCACAUCGGAUAGUUCAGAUGCCAGAGUAAUGUCAGUGAGCACUUGAUAGAAACUUAAUUUUUUUCUUGAUAAUGAAAAUGGGAGGAUUAAGGAGGAAACGUAAGGUAGGAACCUCGUUAGGUGACACAUGAAAUGUAUAGAAGGGUAUUCAGAAUAAAAAGAAAAUGCUGGAGAGGAAAGUAAUAUUAUCCACUGUGUGCCAGAAGAUCUUUCUCUCUCUCUCUCUCUCUCUCUGUAUAUAUAUGGAUGUAUAUGUGUGUGUGGCAUAUAUAUACA